UCUAUCUUGGUGGAUGAAUGCAAUAAGGCACUCAAUCAAAAUAAAACUAUAAAAUCUUUAAUUAAGCUUUUCUACAUUACUUGUUAACAUUGGGGAGAAGUGACUAUGCUUAUUGUUAAAUUAUAUGCAAUUUCUCAGUUUGAUAUCCUCCACCACACGUUAAUCUUCAACGUUCUGGCAUCAGUUUGUCUCUUUUGCACUUCAGAAUUACAAUACUUGAACAAGUGUAAGAGCUCUGAGCUUUUUUGUUUCGUGCGGUAGUCUCCUAGUACUAUUACAUUUCCCACCCAUUUCAGGAUGAGGAUGCAAAACUGGUUUGUUCAGAGGUUGAGAUAGUGGGCAUUUUUCUUUUAUAUAGCCAGGGAUGUCUCUGUGCUCUGCCCAAUGUUUGUCACUUAUUAGGACAACUAAUUGGACUGCUUAGUCUUUUCUAUCUUUCUUAUAAGUUGUUCUAAUUUGCCAGCUGAAUGGUACCUGUAAAUUAUCAGAAAAAAAGUGGUUUUUGAAGCACUUCGAACAAUUCUGAGUGUCUUGUAAUGUUACAGGAUAAAUAUCUUCCAUCCUCUUUUGUUUUUAUCUGCAGCAUAUUUCCAAUUUCUCAGCUUGUUUCCCCCAAAUUCUCCACCUCACCAGCCUCCGCAUCCAGCACCUAAUUCUCUGGAAAUUCUGCCAUCUCUAAUGGGAUCCCACAAACAAGCACUUACUUCCCUCUCUCCCUGUUACUGCUUUCCAUAGGGAUCACUCCCUAUAUGACUCUCUUAUCCACUAGUACCUCCCCACUGAUCUCCCUCCUGGUACUUAUCCUUGCAAGCGGAACAAAUGCCAUACCUGCCCCUACAGCUCCCUCUACCUCACUUACUUCCAAUAAAUGCCAAUAGCUUCCGUUAUUAUGAUCAGAGAAACUGACUGGCCACUUCACACUUCCCUACACAGUCACUAAGCUUUACCUUUCUAAUUGCUCUCUCUUGUCUAAGUUUCUGCUCAAUAGAACUAAACUGUAGCUUCUUUGACUCUAUUCCCAAUCCUGAAUUUCAUUCCUACCACCUUAUUGAAAUUUCCAAUGUCAAAUGUUGUGUACAUCGAUGUUUGUAACUAUGUUAAAUUACAGAAUCAUGGAAAUGUAUAGUAAGGAAUCUGUCCCUUAGUACAGUUCACUUCAUCUGUGCCAACUAUGUCUCUCUACAUUUAACCAAUUUGCCUGCAUUGGGCCCAUAUCCCUCUACUCAUUUUUUACCUAAGUACUUGUCCAAAUGUUUUAAAUGCUAUAAUUGUAUCUGUCUACUCCACCUUCUCUGGCAACUCAUUCCAAACAUUCACCAUUUUCUCUGGGGUGGAAACCUUCCUUUUCAUAUCUCCUUUAAAUUUUUCUUCUAUCUCCUUAAAUAUUUCCUUCCAGCUCUAGACUCCCCUGCCCUGGGAAAAAUACCGUCUAUCCAAUCUAUGCUGUUCAUAAUUUGUAAACCUCAAAAUGGUCACCUUCAGCUUUCUACACUUCAGCAAGAAUAAAUUCAGUCCAUACAAUUUCAUCUCAUAACCCCAACCCUCCAUUCCAGGUAGCACCCGGGUAAAUAUUUUCUGUACUCUCUCUACUGAUGCUACAUCAUUCCUGUAGUGUGUUGAUGAGAACUGUAAGUGAGGUCCAACCAAUAUUAUAUACAAUUGCAACAUGACAUCUUAACUAUUAUAUUCUUCAGCCUAUGCAGGCAAACAUAGCCUUUUUCACCCUAUCCACCCGAGUCAUUACUUCCAGGCCUGCACCCCGAGGUCUCUUUGUACUGUACAUCCACACACCUAAGUCCCUGCCAUUUAGUUCAUGUGUCCUAACAGAACUUGACCAGCCAAAUUGCAUUACUUUGCAUUUGUCUGGAUUAAUUUCUCGUUCCCUCUGUGUCUGGAGGACACGUUCAGCGUGGUCCUGCGGAUUGGCAUUUUGUAACUCUUACAUUCUUUUGUUGAUUACAAAAAAACAGCUGGAGUAACUCAGCAGGUUAGACCCAAGUGCUGAGAUCCUGCAUCAGAAUUGAGAGAGUGAAGAUAGCCAGAAUGAAGACGUGAGGGAGAGGAUUAAGGGAGGAGGAGAGUUGAGGACAGGUUGAUGGGGGAGGGGAGAGUUUUGAGACAGAGGAUGUAGGUAAUUGGUGGAAACAGAAAAGGGAGAAAAUUAGGCAGAUGAGGCCAGGUUUGGGGAAAUGUAGAGAUGGUGGCUGGGAGAUAAGAAUUGGGACAGAGAAGAGAGAAGUGAUGGGCAAACGGAACUGGAUGGGGGUGAGUAACACAUCUAGUUAAUGGAGGCUGCAUGAGGAGUGAAAGAGAGACCCCCUAGAUGGACUGGUGGGAUUGGAAUUGGUUACCUGAAAUUGUAAAGUUCAUAUUCAUGCCAAUGAGUUGCAGGCUGCCCAUGGAAAAUGAAUAUCUUCUAGCUUAUAUUUGACCUCAUUGAGGUUGAGGAUGGACAGAUUGGUAUGGGAAGUGAGGCCAUUGACGACUGAAUGCAACUUUUCUGGAAACAACUACCUAGUCUACUUGGUUCCCCUGAUAUUGGAGAGGCAGACCGAGAGCACAGAGUUCUGAAUAUGAGGUUGGAUAAGGGGCGUUCUCUGCCGGCCAUCAAUGUGGUGACAGAAGCGUUCCUUGGAUCUUGCCGAUCAGCUGCCUUUUUGAUAUCUCCAGGAGUGGCCUGAAGAUGGGUGCAUUCGGAGUGCAACCUGGCGCGAUGGAGUAGACUCGAUUUCUUACUAGUGUUGUGAAUUGAAGUGUCACAGAGAACCAGAACAUCAUGGCAGCGAAUGUGGCUGUCAGAGACUUCCAUUCUCGGAUGAUCACCCUCUCUCUCUCUCUCUCGAUGGUGAGGGAGAGUUUGCUACUGAUUCGUAAGUUGGGGGAAUUUGAAAUAAAAGUGGUGCUACAGACAGUCUGUAAAUUCAAAACAGUGAUUGUUUGUCUUCCCUGUCUCUGAGGAAGGAGUGAUAUCUCUCUCUCCCUUAUUAGGGAAAAAGAGAGUGAGCUUGAGGGAUGUCGAGCUGUUGGGAUGAACAGUAGUUUUUGAUGGACUGUAGAUCAUGGUCUCUCUUUGAGCCUUUUCUAUUGCUUGCAUGGUGGGUGGUGGGGCUGUGAUGUUUUCUGCUAGAAUAACGACGGGGAGGGGUAGGGGAUGGUUGAUGCUGCUUGUGUGUGAGGGGGAGGGGACUUUGGGCUUCCUAUGUUUUUUUCCUAUCAUUCAUUCUUUAGAGUUUUUUCUACUGUUUCAAGGAUGUCUGUGGAGAAUAAGAAUUUCAGGUUGUGUAUUGUAUACGUUCUCUGAUAUUAAAUGGAACCAUUGAACCAGAACCAGCCUGCGAGUGUCAGGAAGACCUGGAUGGUGGAUCCAGGGUCCAUGUCCAUGUGCUGCCUGAGAGCCUUCAAAUAUAUUCAGUGGCCACUUCAUUAUGUGGAGGAUGUACCCACCAAAAUGUCCACUGAGUGUAUUUGUGGUCUUCUGCUUUGUAGCCCAUCCACUUCAACAUGGGCGUGUUGUGCAUUCAGAAAUACUCUUCUGCACACAGCUGUUGUAAUGUGUGGUUAUUUGAGCUUCUGUUGCUUUCCUGUUAGCUUGGAUUAGUCUGGCCAUUCUUCUCGACCUCUCUCAUCAACAAGGCAUUUUUGCCCACAGAUCUGCCAUUCACUGGACACUUUUUGGUUUAUGCAAUGUUCUCUGUAAGCUUAUUUAAGCGGACGCCUGAUUAGCGCAAAUAGUGGGUUUCUAGUUUGUCCAAGUUCUUAUGGAAUUAUUAUGAAUAAACUCUCAUCACCAUCUCUACAUUAAACUUUCUCUUUUCUCCUCACUUGGGUUCCAUUGUUGCCAGCACACACCAUAACAGAAGGACUCCACCAAGUAAUGGUCCCAGUGGAGGUUUAACAGUGCUGUUCUGACAUUAGGUGAGAAUUAAGUGAGAAUACCAUCUGUUCUCAAGUCCACAUUCUGAGUUUCUCAAGUUUAUGUUCUGAGCAUCUCUAGUCUGUAUUCUGAGCUUGUCAAGUUUUCAUUCCAAGUGUCUCUAGUAUACAUUCUGAGUUUCCCUGGUCUCCUUUAGAGCUCUUCAAUUUGUAACUGCUCAGUUCCAAGCUUCAGGGUCCUUUGACCCAGGUCUGCAUAACAAUUGAGUGUUUCAAGCAAGCUCAUUAAAAAAGUUCAUUUGAUUCAACAAAUCAACAUGCAAGCUAAUAAUAUAAAUUUUUGAAGAGCUUAACCUUUGCUGAUGCUUUUCCUUCCAAGUAAUGAUAUGACUUUGUUAAUGUCAAAUCAAUGUUUGGAAGGACACUAUAGGGAAUAAUUGAAAUAAGCUUCAGUGGCAGCAAUAGCAGUGGGAUGGACUAACAUUUACAAUACAUAAUUCCCAUCUGUCCGUUCUGAUGAGUGAUACUAAUGGUAGCAAACAUUCUAGUGUGCAAGUGUGUCCUGAAGCAGUAAUUUGAAUUGGCAGCCCUGAAGAGCCCUGCUCCAAAAGCUGAUCCCUGGCUGGAGUGUACAACCACACAAGUAAAGUAACCCUACUAAAAGUUAGCUACUGUAAACUUAACUCUUGAUAAAAAUCAUGAUACAGACUGAGAAUAUUGAACUUCUAUGUAACAAAUGAAACAGAUCUGCAGACAGCCAGAUAUCUCAGUGAUAAGAAGAGCCUGUCUAUGCUGUCUCAAUCUGUAAAAUUGAGACUACAGCUUUCUGUAUCCUAAUUGCCUCUGGACAAAUAGUGAAGAAUAAAACACUAUGAAUAAGAUUCAUCCAGGAUCCUUCCCCAGCUUUUGAGUUCCAAGUUUUCAAGACUUUUUCGGGGUCUCAAUGAUUUUUCCAGGUCUAAGUGCCCAGUGUCAGCAUCCUAGCCUAAGCAUUCAAGAUUCUCAAGAUUACCCAGGUUGUCAAAGUUUUCCAGCUCAUCAAGGUUCUUCAGAUCAUCAAGGCCCUCCAGGUUUCCAAGGACAAAUCAAGGUUUCCAAGGAUGUUUCAAGGUUUUCAAGGACCUUCCAAAGUUUCCAAAGAUCUUUCAAGGUCUUUCCAAAGUUUCCAAUGUUUUUUUUCAAUGUUCUCCCCAUCUUGAGGACACCCAAGUCUAUAACAAGAUUCCCAAUUCUCUUUUGUUUCUAGGUCUCUUUCUUGAGUUCCUUAAGUCUCUCAAGACAUCCCUAGAUCUUGAGUUGCGAGCUCUCCCUGGGCCUUCAGAUGCCAGCCAUAGGAAGGGAGUGGUACUGUAGAAAGGUCUUCGGGCCUGUGCAAGGUGCUGGAGGGUGUUGGGUUUCAAGGUUUUUAGAGCACCUGAAUUGUUUAAUCAUUAUUUAAAAUGAGUCGUUAAUGGUUUAGGGUCCCUUAUGUUUUUUUUCUUGAAUGACUCACUCUUUGUAAUGCUUUCUCCUGGUACUUUCUGGUUAAGGUUGUUAAGUUUAUUUCGAUAGGCUUGGGGAUUCUGUAUUACUUGUAUUAUUUAAGUGAAUGUCAAUUAGUGGUAAUCGCGGGGUCCUAGUUUUGAGAAUGUGACUUCACAUGGUGUUGGUCAGCUGAGCCACCGAUAUUCUUUUGGAAUUAUUAUGGAUAAACUUUCAUCACUGUCUCUAUAUCGGAGUCUGACUUUCCUCUGCACUUGGGUUCCAAUAUUGCCAGCGCAAAACAGUGAUAGGAUGAAACCAGUUCAAAUGGAUGAUUAGAACAGAUGGAAGCUAAUUAUGUGAUUGGCUGCAUUAUGUGCUGCUAAUAGCAAAGUUUUGUGGGACAAAUUACGAACAGUACUUCGAAUCAGUGGCAGGCCUAACGAGGGAGCAGGAGAUCAGAUGGGCCUAAAUCUGGUCUCAGCAGAUUCCAAAACUUUAUGAUGCUGGCGCCUUUACAAUCAAUGCCUUGCUGCUGAUGUGCUGAGAUAACUAACUGCAGAGAGUUUUAUUCCGAGUGUAUCCAUGUCAGGUAAGAAAGCAUUUUUCAGUAAUCUACUUAUAUUCAGACUUGCUCAACAGAGUAGGUCUCUCCCGAAUUACUUGUUUUUUUAAAAAAUUAAUGUAUAUAAUAAUUGCAUAGCAAUGAAUAUUCACUAUUCCUUCUUUCUCACUUUUUUUUGCAGAUUAUACAACUGCAGUGAUUCCCUGUCUGCUCUUCUGUUCUGACUGGCUCAUAUAGGAUAACAUGAGAAGAUGAGGAGCUUAUCUUUCAACAUUACGAGCUUCUAAGGCAGCGUGGUAGCUAUGUAUUUGCAGAAUCUGCUUGGUGCAUUACUGCUUAUCAGUUGGAAAGCCUGAUCUGAUUAUUUGAGGGAAUGGCUUGUACACAGGUGUUCUUCUGAAGACCCUGACCUGGAGUUACACGCUGACUUUGGUUCUUCGUGGAAAUGGGACCUGUUCUCGGAGCUCCACGACUGGCUGUUGUUCGACAUGCCAAGGGUUUGGCCUGAGAGUCUUGAUCAUGUCGGAAACCUAAGUCCUCAGGGCUCUGGAAGUGGACUAAUUGAGGGUUGGUGUCAUGGCAGGAGACUAGUAUGUCAUUGGGGAGGCUGGAAAAUCUUUCACUGUGGGACUGCAGACCUGAGGUCUUUGUGAUCUUUAGACACAGAGCUUAAAAAAAGCAAUGAAAUGGGCUUUUUUAACAUCGUAAACCAGAAGGUUUUUUUUAUGUCUCCCGCUUGCUGUGAAAAUGAGGGACAUUUCCCUCUCCCUUGCCAGGGAGAGAGAGAACCUUUGGUUUAUCAAAUGUUGGAUGAAGUGAGAGGCCUUUGGGGUAACUUUGGUCUGUGUCUUUGCUAUUGCUUAGCACACGUUUGAGCUCAGUGAUGGUACUGAUGUGUUUUUUGCUGGUGAGGGGAUAGGGGAUUGUUGCUCGCUGCCGCUUACGCACGGUGGGGAGCUGGGGGGGUGACUUUGGUGUUCUCAUGUUUAACUGUCAUUCAUUAUUUGGGGCACUUGUCUGUUUUUGUGGAUGUUUAUGAAGAAAAACCAUUUCAGGAUGUAUGUUGUAUACAUUUCUCUGAUAUUAACUUUGACCUUUGAACCUUUAAGAUGUAUUACAGAUCAAGCCAUUAAGACCAUGUAAGUAAAAAAUACUAUUAAAACAUUGGGAGGAUUGUAUAUUAACGUGUUGAAGGUUAGCUUUAUUUUUCACAUAUAUAUUGAAACAUAAAUGAAACGCAUAAUUUUUUUGUCAACAACCAGCACAUUCUGAGGAUUGAGCUGGGGACAGCUUGCAAAUGUCACCAUACUUUCGGCACCAACAUAGCAUGCCCACAGCUCACGAACGCUAACCUUACGAGUGGUGAUAGAUAAGUUAUUAACUUCAAACUUUCUGCAUAAUCACUCAGUUGAACUGGAUGUAACGAGAGCUGUAUAACUCAUCUCCUUCUACUUAGGCCACAAACUUAUCAAUCACCCCUGCUGUGAACCACUUUCUGGAGGUCCAAGGCACCGAUUUCUGUAAAGGAGGGAUCUGUAUGCUCCACAACUGCUGGACUAAGUGUGUAAAUAUAGGAGGGGACUAUGUUGAAAAAUAAAUGUGCUAGGUUUUCUAAAAUUGACGCCGUCUACCUUAGGCCACGAAUUUAUCAAUCACCCCUCAUAACUGUCUUUGGAAUAUGGGUGGAAACCCAGAUGGUCACAGGGAGAAUGUACAAACUCCUUACAGACAGCAGUAGGAAUUGACCCCUGAUCAAUGACUGCUGACUGCUUCACUACCAUCCCGCCCAACCUUUAAUGAACUUCUCAAGCCACUCGCUGAUAGUUCAUCUUGUUCUCCUAUGAAAUAAGACUAUAAUUUAUAUAAAAUAUAUAAGAUUAAUCCAAUUUUUGUUCCUGUUACUAGUUAUGAGUUCAAGCAAGAUGUUUCUGUUGAAAGACACAAGAACCAAUAUUGAAAGUGGAGCAAUUUAGAACACAAAAUAUUAUCUGAAUGCCUUGGUUCAAAUAGUUUCACCUGUAGAUUGUUGGAUGUACAGGGUGGAAAUAACAAGGUCACUGGACUAUGUGCCCAAUAAAAUCAUAUUGAGAUAGUGAGGAAAUAUUAAGAAAGAUGGCGUAUUAAAAUUGACAAAAAUAAUGACACCAUUCCUUCAGAAGAAAAGGGAAGGAGAAGUAAUAAGAAUGCUUUUAAAUUUGAUAUUUUAAAAUAUGUCAGAAGAUAAUUUUUUGCAGGAUGACAAUAGUUUUAACCAUUCAGUACCAGAAGUUGAUUGGCAGUAAUCAAUGAUGGUGAUGUUUUGGAAAGGCUACUUAUGUACUAUUGAAUGCUAGAGAUUGUCUGUCUGUUUGGUGAGCUUUGAAGGUGCAAAAGCAGCAGAUUCAUGAAUUGAACAGAGAAAUUCAAAGUAUCAUAUUUUUCUUUGCAGAAUAAUGCAACUUGUCCAGUAAUGAGCAAUCUCCAGGUAUUUCAUCCUCAUCCCAUGUUGCUCUCAAUGUGUGCCUUAACGGUGGCAUACCAUUUCAACUUACAGCAAUCUUGUGCAAAAUGACUGUGCAGUUGACUUGAAAUUUAGUUUUUAAAUGUUUCUAUAAAAGCUUUAACACAAUAAAAUUAACCUACUUAAUCUGUUGGUCACUAAUCUUUCAAUUCACUGAUUCACGUUCCUUAGUCACUUUGCCAAUUUCAUAUGAGUAAAAAGAAUUUUGAAAGGUGAUGACUCUGUAUGCAGAAUAUUUAAAAAAGUUGUUGCACUAUCGUCUAUUUAUUGGCAUAUUUUUAAUCCCAGCUGUGAGAAGAAAGGGUAUUUGAUUUGGGUAACAUUCAUAACAUAAGCAUCUGCUCUGCCAAUCAUGUAGAAGCAUUGUUACAUGGCCUUGCUACCAACUUUUUGAUACUAUGAUGCGUUCACUUACUAGGGUGGUGCAAGUUGGGGAGAUGUAUGCAAGGGAUUGUUAAUAACGGUUUUUCUAACCAAGGUAUUGCAAUACUUUAAAAGGUACAAUAAUUUUUAACUGUUCUGGAAGCUUCUAUAGAGCAAUUUUUCAGGUCUAGAAACUCCUCAGAAUUCAAAGGAAAUUAUUGCAGAUAGCAUUUUUGAUGGUACUGGUAAAGAAUCCAGAAUUUUAAAGCUACUUCAUUAGAAAAAGUCAAACAGUUGAUAAUAUUGGCUGCAAAAUGAUAACCAUCAAUUAGUUUUAUUAAUUUCUGUUUCAGAAGUGCUUAUAAUUAAAUCCUUUUGUGGUGAUAUCACGUGCAAUGAUGUGCCAGUACAUGAUUGGACAGAGCACCUUUCAUGUGUGGGAUUACCAGAAUGUUCCAGCACAUGGCUGGGUUAAGAUGUGUUUGUUUAUUACUGUAAAUAAAAGUUUUCUAAUUCUUCCACAAUAUGAUUCUUUACUGUUAACCCAUGGUACGUUUAAACAGAAGUAACAUAACACCUUUCACAAUUUUGCAUUUCAGCAGCUGUUUUCUUGCAUUGUGCCGUAAAUGGUUUGAAUGUUAUA